CUAAGGCUCCAGAGGAAGCCACGGCUAACUCUGUGCCAGCAGCCGCGGUAAUACAGAGGCGGCAAGCGUUGUUCGGAAUUAUUGGGCGUAAAGAGCACGUAGGCGGCCUUGCAAGUCAGUUGUGAAAGCCUUCCGCUUAACGGAAGAAUGCCAGCUGAUACUACAGGGCUUGAGUACGGGAGGGGAGAGUGGAACUUCUGGUGGAGCGGUGAAAUGCGUAGAUAUCAGAAGGAACGCCGGCGGCGAAAGCGACUCUCUGGCCCGAAACUGACGCUGAGUGUGCGAAAGCUAGGGGAGCAAACGGGAUUAGAUGCCCCGGUAGUCCUAGCCGUAAA
rnacentral:rRNA from 1 species